GCCAGAUGCACUGGCUUAUGCUGUCAUGUUGCUGGGGGAUGUAAAUGCCAAAAAUGUGAUAAUGUUGCAUGCCGAUAUGAUAAAGAUGGGUGUUUUGCCAAAUGAAGUCUUGACAAGGGGUUAUCCAUAGAGUGGUUGCCUGAAGUCCUCCACACUUACAGCAUAAGGAUGGCUAUCCUAUACACCAGAGAAAAAAUUGAUUGCCUUUACCAGCAGCCUCUACUUGGCAGCUAGGCCCGGAAGAGCAUAUGAAAAAUGUGGAAA
rnacentral:misc_RNA from 1 species